rnacentral:sRNA from 1 species
GCCGAUGACCAGCCGAGUCCGUGCAGUCAGGAGGCACGGAGCCGGGGAACCAUCGACCUUCACGCGAAGGUCCGGGGUGAAUCGGCGCAUCGCGCGCCGUAGGGCGACUUCCCCGCCCGAACCCGUCAGCUAACCCGGUAGGCGUGAGCGGAAGA